CCAGACUCCUACGGGAGGCAGCAGUGAGGAAUAUUGGUCAAUGGACGGAAGUCUGAACCAGCCAAGUAGCGUGCAGGAUGACGGCCCUAUGGGUUGUAAACUGCUUUUGUAUGGGGAUAAAGUCAAUCACGUGUGAUUGUUUGCAGGUACCAUACGAAUAAGGACCGGCUAAUUCCGUGCCAGCAGCCGCGGUAAUACGGAAGGUCCAGGCGUUAUCCGGAUUUAUUGGGUUUAAAGGGAGCGUAGGCUGGAUAUUAAGUGUGUUGUGAAAUGUAGACGCUCAACGUCUGACUUGCAGCGCAUACUGGUUUCCUUGAGUACGCACAACGUUGGCGGAAUUCGUCGUGUAGCGGUGAAAUGCUUAGAUAUGACGAAGAACUCCGAUUGCGAAGGCAGCUGACGGGAGCGCAACUGACGCUUAAGCUCGAAGGUGCGGGUAUCAAACAGGAUUAGAUACCCUGGUAGUCCGCACAGUAAACGAUGGAUGCCCGCUGUUGGUACCUGGUAUCAGCGGCUAAGCGAAAGCAUUAAGCAUCCCACCUGGGGAGUACGCCGGCAACGGUGAAACUCAAAGGAAUUGACGGGGGCCCGCACAAG
rnacentral:rRNA from 1 species